rnacentral:rRNA from 1 species
GAUGAACGCUGGCGGCGUGCUUAACACAUGCAAGUCGAACGAUGAAGCCCAGCUUGCUGGGUGGAUUAGUGGCGAACGGGUGAGUAACACGUGAGUAACCUGCCCUUGACUCUAGGAUAAGCCCGGGAAACUGGGUCUAAUACUGGAUAGGAACGUCUACCGCAUGGUGGGUGUUGGAAAGAAUUUCGGUCAUGGAUGGACUCGCGGCCUAUCAGCUUGUUGGUGAGGUAAUGGCUCACCAAGGCGACGACGGGUAGCCGGCCUGAGAGGGUGACCGGCCACACUGGGACUGAGACACGGCCCAGACUCCUACGGGAGGCAGCAGUGGGGAAUAUUGCACAAUGGGCGAAAGCCUGAUGCAGCGACGCCGCGUGAGGGAUGAUGGCCUUCGGGUUGUAAACCUCUUUCAGUAGGGAAGAAGCGAAAGUGACGGUACCUGCAGAAGAAGCACCGGCUAACUACGUG